rnacentral:tRNA from 2 species
GGCCCCGUAGCUCAGCUGGAUAGAGCAACGGACUUCUAAUCCGUAGGUCGCAGGUUCGAAUCCUGCCGGGGUCGCCA